GCAGUCGACGAUGAACCGGUUUCGGCCGGGGAUUAGUGGCGAACGGGUGAGUAACACGUGGGCAAUCUGCCCUUCACUCUGGGACAAGCCCUGGAAACGGGGUCUAAUACCGGAUAUGACACGGGAUCGCAUGAUCUUCGUGUGGAAAGCUCCGGCGGUGAAGGAUGAGCCCGCGGCCUAUCAGCUUGUUGGUGGGGUGAUGGCCUACCAAGGCGACGACGGGUAGCCGGCCUGAGAGGGCGACCGGCCACACUGGGACUGAGACACGGCCCAGACUCCUACGGGAGGCAGCAGUGGGGAAUAUUGCACAAUGGGCGAAAGCCUGAUGCAGCGACGCCGCGUGAGGGAUGACGGCCUUCGGGUUGUAAACCUCUUUCAGCAGGGAAGAAGCGAGAGUGACGGUACCUGCAGAAGAAGCGCCGGCUAACUACGUGCCAGCAGCCGCGGUAAUACGUAGGGCGCAAGCGUUGUCCGGAAUUAUUGGGCGUAAAGAGCUCGUAGGCGGCUUGUCGCGUCGGAUGUGAAAGCCCGGGGCUUAACCCCGGGUCUGCAUUCGAUACGGGCAGGCUAGAGUUCGGUAGGGGAGAUCGGAAUUCCUGGUGUAGCGGUGAAAUGCGCAGAUAUCAGGAGGAACACCGGUGGCGAAGGCGGAUCUCUGGGCCGAUACUGACGCUGAGGAGCGAAAGCGU
rnacentral:rRNA from 1 species